AUCCCUUGACAUCACUAGGAUAUCUUAGAGAUAAGAUAGUGCCUUCGGGAACUAGUAGAC
rnacentral:rRNA from 1 species